GCGGUUGUGAUGGAAUGGCAGACAUGCGGGAUUCAAACCCCCGUGAGCGAAAGCUCGACUGUGAGUUCGAGUCUCACCAACCACACCA
rnacentral:tRNA from 1 species